UACGUAGGGGGCAAGCGUUGUCCGGAAUUAUUGGGCGUAAAGAGCGUGUAGGCGGCCAGAUAAGUCCGCUGUGAAAUCUCGAGGCUCAACUUCGAGCUGUCGGUGGAAACUGUCUGGCUAGAGUCCGGAAGAGGAGAAUGGAAUUCCUGGUGUAGCGGUGAAAUGCGCAGAUAUCAGGAAGAACACCCGUGGCGAAGGCGGCUCUCUGGGACGGUACUGACGCUGAGACGCGAAAGCGUGGGGAGCGAACAGG
rnacentral:rRNA from 1 species